UGUUAGUGAAAGACCCCCAGGAGCAGGGAGAUCCUCACUCAAGUCUCGGGAUGAUGCGGCCCCCCAAGAACUCACACAAGACC
rnacentral:pre_miRNA from 14 species